CUGCUGCCUUCCGUAGGAGUCUGGGCCGUGUCUCAGUCCCAGUGUGGCCGAUCAACCUCUCAGCUCGGCUACGCAUCGUUGCCUUGGUAGGCCAUUACCCCACCAACUAGCUAAUGCGCCGCAGGCCCAUCUCUACGCGAAGCUUUAAAGGCUCCUUUACUCCGAAGAGCACAUUCGGUAUUAGCAGUCGUUUCCAACUGUUAUCCCCAACAUAGAGGCAGGUAACCCACGUGUUACUCACCCGUUUGCCA
rnacentral:rRNA from 1 species